UUUCGGCGUGCUUAACACAUGCAAGUCGAACGGAAAGGCCCUGCUUUUGUGGGGUGCUCGAGUGGCGAACGGGUGAGUAACACGUGAGUAACCUGCCCUUGACUUUGGGAUAACUUCAGGAAACUGGGGCUAAUACCGGAUAGGAGCUCCUGCUGCAUGGUGGGGGUUGGAAAGUUUCGGCGGUUGGGGAUGGACUCGCGGCUUAUCAGCUUGUUGGUGGGGUAGUGGCUUACCAAGGCUUUGACGGGUAGCCGGCCUGAGAGGGUGACCGGCCACAUUGGGACUGAGAUACGGCCCAGACUCCUACGGGAGGCAGCAGUGGGGAAUAUUGCACAAUGGGCGGAAGCCUGAUGCAGCAACGCCGCGUGCGGGAUGACGGCCUUCGGGUUGUAAACCGCUUUCGCCUGUGACGAAGCGUGAGUGACGGUAAUGGGUAAAGAAGCACCGGCUAACUACGUGCCAGCAGCCGCGGUGAUACGUAGGGUGCGAGCGUUGUCCGGAUUUAUUGGGCGUAAAGGGCUCGUAGGUGGUUGAUCGCGUCGGAAGUGUAAUCUUGGGGCUUAACCCUGAGCGUGCUUUCGAUACGGGUUGACUUGAGGAAGGUAGGGGAGAAUGGAAUUCCUGGUGGAGCGGUGGAAUGCGCAGAUAUCAGGAGGAACACCAGUGGCGAAGGCGGUUCUCUGGGCCUUUCCUGACGCUGAGGAGCGAAAGCGUGGGGAGCGAACAGGCUUAGAUACCCUGGUAGUCCACGCUGUAAACGGUGGGUACUAGGUGUGGGGUCCAUUCCACGGGUUCCGUGCCGUAGCUAACGCUUUAAGUACCCCGCCUGGGGAGUACGGCCGCAAGGCUAAAACUCAAAGGAAUUGACGGGGCCCCGCACAAGCGGCGGAGCAUGCGGAUUAAUUCGAUGCAACGCGUAGAACCUUACCUGGGUUUGACAUGGAUCGGGAGUGCUCAGAGAUGGGUGUGCCUCUUUUGGGGUCGGUUCACAGGUGGUGCAUGGCUGUCGUCAGCUCGUGUCGUGAGAUGUUGGGUUAAGUCCCGCAACGAGCGCAACCCUUGUUCACUGUUGCCAGCACGUUAUGGUGGGGACUCAGUGGAGACCGCCGGGGUCAACUCGGAGGAAGGUGGGGAUGACGUCAAGUCAUCAUGCCCCUUAUGUCCAGGGCUUCACGCAUGCUACAAUGGCUGGUACAGAGAGUGGCGAGCCUGUGAGGGUGAGCGAAUCUCGGAAAGCCGGUCUCAGUUCGGAUUGGGGUCUGCAACUCGACCUCAUGAAGUCGGAGUCGCUAGUAAUCGCAGAUCAGCAACGCUGCGGUGAAUACGUUCCCGGGGCUUGUACACACCGCCCGUCAAGUCAUGAAAGUUGGUAACACCCGAAGCCGGUGGCCUAACCGUUGUGGGGGAGCCGUCGAAGGUGGGACUGGUGAUUAG
rnacentral:rRNA from 1 species